GCGGAUAUGGUCGAAUGGUAAAAUUUCUCUUUGCCA
rnacentral:tRNA from 2 species